rnacentral:rRNA from 1 species
GACGAACGCUGGCGGCGUGCCUAAUACAUGCAAGUAGAACGCUGAAGAGAGGAGCUUGCUCUUCUUGGAUGAGUUGCGAACGGGUGAGUAACGCGUAGGUAACCUGCCUGGUAGCGGGGGGUAACUAUUGGAAACGAUAGCUAAUACCGCAUAAAAUUGAUUAUUGCAUGAUAAUUAAUUGAAAGAUGCAAUUGCAUCACUACCAGAUGGACCUGCGUUGUAUUAGCUAGUUGGUGAGGUAACGGCUCACCAAGGCGACGAUACAUAGCCGACCUGAGAGGGUGAUCGGCCACACUGGGACUGAGACACGGCCCAGACUCCUACGGGAGGCAGCAGUAGGGAAUCUUCGGCAAUGGGGGGGAACCCCUGACCCGAGCAAACGCCCGCGUGAGUGAAAGAAAGGUUUUUCGGAUUCGUAAAAGCUUCUGGUGUAAAG